rfam:Caprimulgus carolinensis contig117764, whole genome shotgun sequence.
AAAGGCUCUUUUAAGAGCCACCCACUUUUUCUUAAGGAGAGCUG